rnacentral:rRNA from 1 species
GGGGAAAAAUUAAUAAAUAGGGUAAUUUUAAUAAAAGUAAUUUUAAAUUAAGUAAAUUAAUAAUAUUUUAAUUGGGGGGUUAAAGUAUGUUGAUUGAAAAAAUUUAAAUUUUUAUAGUAUAUUAGUAUUGUAAAAGAAUUUUGAAAUAUUUGAAAUAUGAAUUUAUUUGUAAGUAAUUUUAAUUUAAUGUAUCUUGUGUAUCAGAGUUUAUUAAAUAAAAUUUUUAUAAAAAAAAAUUCUCGAAUUUAAGGGAGAUAAUUAAUUAUAAGAGUUAUUGUUGUAUAAAUAUUUUUAAUAAUUAAUUUGAAAUGAGAUGUUAAUCGUUCUUAAAUAUAUCUAGUUUUUUUAGAAAAAAAUUUAAUUUUAAAUUUAUUUAAGAGUAUUUAAUUAAUUAUUUUAAUUAUAUAUAUAUAUAUUAUUUGAUAAAUUUUAUAUUUUAAGGGAUAAGCUUUAAAUUAAAUUUAAUAAAAUUAAAAUUAAAUUUUUAAAAUUUUUAUGAUUUAUAUUGUUAAUAAAUUAUAAUUUAUUAUAAAUAAUUUUAAAUAUAAAUAAAAUUUAAUAAAAAUUUAUUAUAUUUAUAAAAAAAUUUUUUUUAAUUAGAAAAAAUUUAAUAUAAUGAUAAAAUUAGUAUAUAUAUAUAUAUCAUAUAAAUAAAUUAAAUAAUUAUUUAAUUUAAGUGAAAGUAUUUAUAAGGAAUUCGGCAAAAUAAUUUAAAUAAUACUCACUUGUUUAUCAAAAACAUGUCUUUUUGUAAAUAAUAUAAAGUCUAAUCUGCCCACUGAUUAAGAAAAAUUAAAGGGCUGCAGUAUAUUGACUGUACAAAGGUAGCAUAAUCAUUAGUCAUUUAAUUGAUGACUUGUAUGAAGGAUUGGAUGAAGUAUUAACUGUCUUAUAUAUAAUUUGUAGAAUUUAAUUUUUAAAUUAAAAAGUUUAAAUAAAUUAAAAAGACGAGAAGACCCUAUAGAGUUUUAUAAUUUUUUUUAAUUAUAAUUAUUAAUAAAUUAAAAAUUUUUAAUUAUUUAAAUUAUUUUAUUGGGGUGAUAGAAAAAUAAGAAUAACUUUUUUUAUUAAAGAUCAUAAAUAAGUGAAUAAAUGAUCCAAUUUUAUUGAUUAUAAGAAAAAAUUACCUUAGGGAUAACAGCGUUAUUUAUUUUUUUAGUUCAUAUAAAAAUUUAAGUUUGCGACCUCGAUGUUGGAUUAAGAUAAAAGUUAAAUGUAGAAGUUUAAAUUUUUGAUCUGUUCGAUCAUUAAAAUCUUACAUGAUCUGAGUUCAGACCGGUGUGAGCCAGGUUGGUUUCUAUCUUUUAAAAAAUAAAAUAUUUUAGUACGAAAGGAUUAAAUAUUUAAAUUAAAUUUAUUAUUUUUGAAUUUUAAUAAAUAAUAUAUAUAUAUAUAUAUUAAUAAUAAUAAUAUAAAUUAAUGAUA